GGGAGAGCAGGAGAGAGGUAAGAAGGCCUAAGUUUGAGACCUGCUCUGGGGAGAACACUCAAAGUACAUUCUGGAACCAUUAAACCCCAGGAUGGAACAGCCAGCAUCUCAUCCAAGCAGAAUCUUGGUGGCUUUGGGGAAAUUCUGGAAAAUGCCACUUGCCAGUGUGAAUUAAAGGGAUGUGUCCUGAGACUAGAGCUGUGCUACAUAGGAGGGUGAACAGUUAGACCGGUUACCCCUCCUAUGCAGGGCUGACCCUGCUGAGUGGAUGGGGGCAGCACCCCAGUGCCCCCAAAUUCCAUCAUUGGUGAGUGUUCUUUUUCACCAAAGAGGCAUGAAGGGUAUUUGGGCAGUAUGACUAAGAGAAAUCUCUAAAUCUCCAGUGCUGUCAGGAUGGGCCUUCCCACCGCACCAAGCCAAGUCCAGUCCCAGGAGAGACUGUCCCCUGUUCAGAGCUCUCAAGCCUUCCUCAGCCACACCUCAUUCCAGUUCCCCAGAAAUCCCAGCCAGGGGCCUCAAACUGGUCUGGAGCAAGGAAACAAAAUGAAGAGAAGUUGACUUUUCUGAUUCUAAACUGAGAACACCACAUUGGAAAAUCUUUUUUUGUUUUGUUUUGCUACCUGAGUUGAGAUCCUAAAACAUAAAAUCUGAUGGACUUGAAAAGCACAAGCCCUAAAAUUCCUCCACUGAGACAACCCCCUCUCUAGGCGGCUCUCAGAAGCUUCCAGAAUCUACGUGGCUUUUCUGGGAGUGGACGGAGGAGAAGGAGGGUUGGAAAUGGAUGCUCCUAGAUUUCUUGUGAUGACCAACCCAAUUACUUCUGCCAAAUUGCUCUGUGAUUUGCCCUGAUUGGGAUGAAUUGUGAAAUUCACGUCAAGCAAUUCUGGAAGUGGUCUGCAUCCCGUCAGCCUCUACCUGUAGGUGUGAAUGUCAUUAGGUCCUCUGCUGACCCCUGAGCUCCCGUCACUGCUGCCUAAUGGGGCAAAGAAGCAAAAAACAUUUCUUACUCUUAUGUGUUUUAACAAAAGUUUAUAAAGCGAAAUAAAUGGCGCCUAUGUUUUCUAA
rnacentral:lncRNA from 1 species